GGGUUGUGAGGUUAAGCGACUAAGCGUACACGGUGGAUGCCCUGGCAGUCAGAGGCGAUAACGGGGAGCAGCCCAGAGCCUGAAUCAGUGUGUGUGUUAGUGGAAGCGUCUGGAAAGGCGCGCGAUACAGGGUGACAGCCCCGUACACAAAAAUGCACAUGCUGUGAGCUCGAUGAGUAGGGCGGGACACGUGGUAUCCUGUCUGAAUAUGGGGGGACCAUCCUCCAAGGCUAAAUACUCCUGACUGACCG
rnacentral:rRNA from 1 species